AGGAAUAUUGGUCAAUGGACGCGAGUCUGAACCAGCCAAGUAGCGUGAAGGAUGACUGCCCUAUGGGUUGUAAACUUCUUUUAUACGGGAAUAAAGUGAGGCACGUGUGCCUUUUUGUAUGUACCGUAUGAAUAAGGAUCGGCUAACUCCGUGCCAGCAGCCGCGGUAAUACGGAGGAUCCGAGCGUUAUCCGGAUUUAUUGGGUUUAAAGGGAGCGUAGGCGGACGCUUAAGUCAGUUGUGAAAGUUUGCGGCUCAACCGUAAAAUUGCAGUUGAUACUGGGUGUCUUGAGUACAGUAGAGGCAGGCGGAAUUCGUGGUGUAGCGGUGAAAUGCUUAGAUAUCACGAAGAACUCCGAUUGCGAAGGCAGCUUGCUGGACUGUAACUGACGCUGAUGCUCGAAAGUGUGGGUAUCAAACAGGAUUAGAUACCCUGGUAGUCCACACAGUAAACGAUGAAUACUCGCUGUUUGCGAUAUACAGUAAGCGGCCAAGCGAAAGCGUUAAGUAUUCCACCUGGGGAGUACGCCGGCAACGGUGAAACUCAAAGGAAUUGACGGGGGCCCGCACAAGCGGAGGAACAUGUGGUUUAAUUCGAUGAUACGCGAGGAACCUUACCCGGGCUUGAAUUGCAACUGAAUGAUGUGGAGACAUGUCAGCCGCAAGGCAGUUGUGAAGGUGCUGCAUGGUUGUCGUCAGCUCGUGCCGUGAGGUGUCGGCUUAAGUGCCAUAACGAGCGCAACCUUUAUCGAUAGUUACCAUCAGGUUAUGCUGGGGACUCUGUCGAGACUGCCGUCGUAAGAUGUGAGGAAGGUGGGGAUGACGUCAAAUCAGCACGGCCCUUACGUCCGGGGCUACACACGUGUUACAAUGGGGGGUACAGAAGGCAGCUACACGGCGACGUGAUGCUAAUCCCGAAAGCCUCUCUCAGUUCGGAUUGGAGUCUGCAACCCGACUCCAUGAAGCUGGAUUCGCUAGUAAUCGCGCAUCAGCCACGGCGCGGUGAAUACGUUCCCG
rnacentral:rRNA from 1 species